rnacentral:misc_RNA from 1 species
UAAUCGAGUGUUUUAUGGCACUCUUUAAAAAAUCCAUAUCCACCUUGUGUGCAACGUUUUUGAACUCUCUCUGGCGUUAAAAAACCAAGAGGGUUUGAUUAACUUAACUUAACACCUUUAAAGCAGUUUGUCUGAAUAUCUAUUUCUGAAUAAACAUAAUUCAAAAAUA